rnacentral:rRNA from 1 species
AUGAACGCUAGCGACAGGCCUAACACAUGCAAGUCAGGGCAGCACAAGGAGCAAUCUGAGGUGGCGACCGGCGCACGGGUGAGUAACACGUAUGCGACCUGCCUGUAGCGGGGAAUAACCCGUUGAAAGACGGACUAAUACCGCAUAAUACUAAAUUACUGCAUGGUAAUUUAUUUAAACAUUUAUGGCUUACAGAUGGGCAUGCGCAUGAUUAGCUAGUUGGAGAGGUAACGGCUCCCCAAGGCAACGAUCAUUAGGGGUUCUGAGAGGAAGGUCCCCCACACUGGUACUGAGACACGGACCAGACUCCUACGGGAGGCAGCAGUGAGGAAUAUUGGUCAAUGGACGAGAGUCUGAACCAGCCAAGUCGCGUGCAGGAAGAAUGUCCCUAUAGAUUGUAAACUGCUUUUGCAGGGGAAUAAAGUGCAUCACGUGUGAUGUUUUGUAUGUACUCUGCGAAUAAGGAUCGGCUAACUCCGUGCCAGCCGCGGC